UCAGUUCGGAUCGAAGUCUGCAACCCGACUUCGUGAAGCUGGAUUCGCUAGUAAUCGCGCAUCAGCCACGGCGCGGUGAAUACGUUCCCGGGCCUUGUACACACCGCCCGUCAAGCCACGGGAGCCGGGGGUACCUGAAGUACGUAACCGCAAGGAGCGUCCUAGGGUAAAACUGGUGACUGGGGCUAAGUCGUAACAAGGUACC
rnacentral:rRNA from 1 species